rnacentral:rRNA from 1 species
CACACCGCCCGUCACACCACGAAAGUGGGCAACACCUGAAGCCGGGUCGCUAACUGCUCGCAGGGGCGCCUGUCGAGGGUGGGGUUCAUGAUUGGGGUG